rnacentral:rRNA from 1 species
UACGUAGGGUGCAAGCGUUGUUCGGAUUUAUUGGGCGUAAAAGCGCGUAGCGGCCAUACAGGUCAGCUGUGAAAACUCGAGGCUCAACCUCGAGACGUCGGUUGAAACCGUAUGGCUAGAGUCCGGAAGAGGAGAGUGGAAUUCCCGGUGUAGCGGUGAAAUGCGCAGAUAUCGGGAAGAACACCCGUGGCGAAGGCGGCUCUCUGGGACGGUACUGACGCUGAGACGCGAAAGCGUGGGGAGCGAACAGG